UUUAAUGCUGAGGCGUGAUGGGGAAGGCCCUUGAGGCUGAAGUACAUGAUUCCAUGCUUCCAAGAAAAGCAUCUAGAGAGAGAAGUAGUGCCCGUACCGCAAACCGACACAGGUAGAUGAGGAGAGAAUCCUAAGGCCGGCGGAAGAAUUGCAGUUAAGGAACUAGGCAAAUUGACCCCGUAAGUUAGCGAGAAGGGGUGCCUGCGAGAGCAGGCCGCAGAGAAUAGGCCCAAGCAACUGUUUAGCAAAAACACAGGUCUCUGCUAAAGCGCAAGCUGAUGUAUAGGGGCUGACGCCUGCCCGGUGCUGGAAGGUUAAGGGGAACACUUAGCGCAAGCGAAGGUGUGAACUUAAGCCCCAGUAAACGGCGGCCGUAACUAUAACGGUCCUAAGGUAGCGAAAUUCCUUGUCAGGUAAGUUCUGACCCGCACGAAUGGCGUAAUGACUUGGGCACUGUCUCAACUGCAAAUCCGGCGAAGUUGUAGUGCGAGUGAAGAUGCUCGCUACCCGCGAUUGGACGGAAAGACCCCGUAGAGCUUUACUGUAGCUUAGCAUUGAAUUCCGGUAUUGUCUGUACAGGAUAGGUGGGAGACUGGGAAACUAGGGCGUCAGCCUUGGUGGAGUCGUCCUUGGGAUACCACCCUGACAGUACUGGGGUUCUAACAGGACGCCAUGAAUCUGGUGACUGGACAUUGUUAGGUGGGCAGUUUGACUGGGGCGGUCGCCUCCUAAAAAGUAACGGAGGCGCCCAAAGGUUCCCUCAGAACGGUCGGAAAUCGUUCGUAGAGUGCAAAGGCAGAAGGGAGCCUGACUGCGAGACCUACAAGUCGAGCAGGGACGAAAGUCGGGCUUAGUGAUCCGGUGGUACCACGUGGGAGGGCCAUCGCUCAACGGAUAAAAGCUACCUCGGGGAUAACAGGCUGAUCUCCCCCAAGAGUCCACAUCGACGGGGAGGUUUGGCACCUCGAUGUCGGCUCGUCGCAUCCUGGGGCUGUAGUAGGUCCCAAGGGUUGGGCUGUUCGCCCAUUAAAGCGGCACGCGAGCUGGGUUCAGAACGUCGUGAGACAGUUCGGUCCCUAUCCGUCGCGGGCGUAGGAAAUUUGAGAGGAGCUGUCCUUAGUACGAGAGGACCGGGAUGGACUGACCUCUGGUGCACCAGUUGUUCUGCCAAGAGCAUGGCUGGGUAGCUAAGUCGGGAAGGGAUAAACGCUGAAAGCAUCUAAGCGUGAAGCCUCCCUCAAGAUGAGAUUUCCCAUAGCAUAAGCUAGUAAGACCCCUUGAAGAACACGAGGUUGAUAGGUCAGAGGUGUAAGUGUGGUAACAUAUUUAGCUGACUGAUACUAAUAGGUCGAGGGCUC
rnacentral:rRNA from 1 species